AUCCAGCUGGCGAGUCCAAAAUAGGACGAAACGCGCAUCCUGGAU
rfam:Schistosoma curassoni strain Dakar, Senegal genome assembly, scaffold: SCTD_scaffold0000483